rnacentral:rRNA from 1 species
UGGGGAAUAUUGCACAAUGGGCGGAAGCCUGAUGCAGCGACGCCGCGUGAGGGAUGACGGCCUUCGGGUUGUAAACCUCUUUCAGUAGGGACGAAGCGUAAGUGACGGUACCUGCAGAAGAAGCACCGGCUAACUACGUGCCAGCAGCCGCGGUAAUACGUAGGGUGCGAGCGUUGUCCGGAAUUACUGGGCGUAAAGAGCUCGUAGGCGGUUUGUCACGUCGUCUGUGAAAUCCUAGGGCUUAACCCUGGACGUGCAGGCGAUACGGGCUGACUUGAGUACUACAGGGGAGACUGGAAUUUCUGGUGUAGCGGUGGAAUGCACAGAUAUCAGGAAGAACACCGAUGGCGAAUGCAGGUCUCUGGGUAGUAACUGACGCUGAGGAGCGAAAGCAUGGGUAGCGAACAGG